rnacentral:lncRNA from 1 species
AUGUUUUUGCACCAAAGCAUGAUUAAUCAUUAUAACUACUUGCUCCUUUAGUUCUUGAUAACUUAUUUAAAUAUGUUGGUUUGUGGGAUAAAAAAUUAAUAAUGCUAAAGUAAACGGAGUGGAAAGUAUAGAUCUGGCAAUAAAGAGCAGCUUUGCCAGACAUGUGGGAAAGAGUUCAAAAGCCGAUCCGGCCUUAAUGAUCAUGUCAGAAGGCACGAUGAAAGGGCUCCUUACAUGUGCUGUGGGAAAUUUUUUUUACAGCAGAGCCAAUAUGACGCGCCAUAGGUGUAGUGCUCACCAAGAGAAGAAGGAACACCAGUGUUCUGUCUGUGGGGCAGUAUUUUCAACAAACUCCGAUGUAAGAAGACACUCAAACAUUCAUAGAAAACCGGAGUAUACCUGUCUGGAAUGUUGAUUUGAAACCAGGAGCCAGCAGCGGUACACGGACCACAUUGCUACACACACGGGCGAAAAGAAUCACAAGUGUUCGUGUUGAAAAGUAUAUAGAUUCCGCACUAGCCUGUAUAGGCAUAAGAAAACUUGUAACGCCAAGUGAAUAAAGAUUGUGUUUACUUGGAAUUAUGAUCUAGUGUUUAAAUCUGUUUCUACAUUUAAAUAAUUUGUCUGUCUGUCCGUCUGUCCGUAGACCCAAUCUUGUGCGCACCAUCUCUCCUUAUCCCCUUGACAGAAUUUAAUGAAACUUCACACAAGUGAUCAGUAACAACAG